rnacentral:rRNA from 1 species
AGAUUGAACGCUGGCGGCGUGCCUAACACAUGCAAGUCGAGCGGUAACAGGUGUAGCAAUACAUGCUGACGAGCGGCGAACGGGUGAGUAAUGCUUUGGAAUCUUCCCAGUAGUGGGGAAUAACCAGUCGAAAGAUUGGCUAAUACCGCAUACGUCUGUAAAGGGAAAGCGGGGGCUCGUAAGACCUCGCGCUAUUGGAUGAGCCAAAGUCGGAUUAGCUAGUUGGUGGGGUAAUGGCCUACCAAGGCGACAAUCCGUAGCUGGUCUGAGAGGACGACCAGCCACACCGGAACUGAGACACGGUCCGGACUCCUACGGGAGGCAGCAGUGGGGAAUAUUGGACAAUGGGGGCAACCCUGAUCCAGCCAUGCCGCGUGAGUGAUGAAGGCCUUCGGGUUGUAAAGCUCUUUUAGCGGGGACGAUGAUGACGGUACCCGCAGAAUAAGCCCGGCUAACUUCGUGCCAGCAGCCGC